GCCAAGGCCAGCACAGUGGUUAACCUCUGCAGAAGCAAACACACGAAUAUCAGGACUGGGCAACUCCGGUCCACGGAAGGCAGAGCCCUGGCUGCAUGCUGCGACCGACUCACAUCCGGGAGCGGUGGAAGCACGUGACCUCCCAGCUUUACAAAAUGGAGGGCUUUGUGACCCGAGGUUCAGCCUCGCAGUCCGGAGCCGCAAACAGAGCCGCGAAUCUCCUGCGCGGGUGCAAACGACUGGGUCCUGUAGGCUGAUUGGAUACAUGUGUAUACACUACCGGAAACUGCCACCGCUCACAAGCAUCAGGAUGUGCUCCCGCUCAGCCGAAGAGCCACAGUCUCUGCCAACUGCGCUGCAGAACUGCAUGCUGGGAACAGCAGGCAGAGACGGACUGCAGGUGCAGGACUAUCUGGACCGGAGGUGCGUCGCAUCUGUUUCUGUGUUUCGU